ACUUCACUCUCAUAUUUGAAAAGCUGAAAUUCAGCAACUUGAGCCCUUCUAAAAUUAAUUUUAAGAUAAGAAUCAAUUUGAUCAUACUCAAUAUUUUAUAAUCAUCAAAAAGGGAAAGAUUGAGGAUGAUAGUGGUAUUUUGAUGAUUAAUACAAUGAUUAAUAAUGAGAUAAAAUUUGCGAUAGGAAAGGAAUAGUGAAUUCUAAAUUCCAAUUCGGCAAAGUUUCAAGUGAAACGUACUCUUAAGUGGACAAUAGUAAUUUUCAUUGUUUAGAGUAUGUAGCACCACCAUAACAUAUAUUCAAAAUUGUUUAAAGUUUAUUUCAUUGAUUAUAUGGAUAAAUCUAACCUUAAGUUGCAGCAAAGUAUGGAUUGAGCCGACCCCAAGCUUGAUUGAGUCGACCCCGGCACAUCAAGGAAACAUCUGGCACACUUCUGCAAAAAUGGCACGGAUGAACAGUACUUGGGUCGACCCAAGUGAAAGUUGAGUCGACCCCAUCUUCAAGCUUCAAGAAAACAAGUCUCUGGAAUCC
rnacentral:lncRNA from 1 species